rnacentral:rRNA from 1 species
UACGUAGGCAGCAAGCGUUGUUCGGAUUCACUGGGCGUAAAGGGUGCGUAGGUGGUGAGGUAAGUCGGAUGUGAAAGCUCGGAGCUCAACUCCGAAAUGGCAUUGGAAACUACCUUGCUCGAGGGUUGGAGGGGGGACUGGAAUGCUUGGUGUAGCAGUGAAAUGCGUAGAUAUCAAGCGGAACACCAGUGGCGAAGGCGAGUCCCUAGACAACUCCUGACACUGAGGCACGAAAGCUAGGGGA